UGGGACUGAGACACGGCCCAGACUCCUACGGGAGGCAGCAGUAGGGAAUCUUCCGCAAUGGACGAAAGUCUGACGGAGCAACGCCGCGUGAGCGAUGAAGGCCUUCGGGUCGUAAAGCUCUGUUGUUAGGGAAGAACAAGUAUCGGAGUAACUGCCGGUACCUUGACGGUACCUAACCAGAAAGCCACGGCUAACUACGUGCCAGCAGCCGCGGUAAUACGUAGGUGGC
rnacentral:rRNA from 1 species